CUAUGUCUAUCAAAGGAUUAUUCUCAAAUUUUUUCAUGCUUUACUACCAGUAAAAGUUUGGUUUGAGUACCUACUUUAUACACCUAUAGACAUACGUGUGAUGUUUAAUUCCAGUUGUCAACCUGAUGAGUUAUAGUUCACCUGGGAGAAGAACUUCUGGGCAUGACUGUGAGAAUUGUCUUCAUUAGGUUAAUUAACCCAUGGGUGCUAUGGGUGAGGUUCUGGACUGUAUAACAGGGAGGAAAUGAGCUGAACCCUGGGAUUCAUCUCUCUUUGCUUCCUGACUGCUCCCAUGACUUCCUUCCGUGAUAACUGCUACCCACUAAUACUGAAGAUUUCACCUCGUUUCAUUGAUUCUAACCAUAUCUUCAUGAACUAGAAAGAUGAAAAAGAAUGUCACUUGGAGACAAAGAAGGCCAAGAACCUUUCACUGGUGAAAAGAGGGUGGAGAAACUAUUGUGUGUCCAGCAGUUGAUCUGGAAUCUUCCAGGCUCUUUCUCUCUUUGGAACCAACCAUGGCCAGCCUCUGCUUCUGGUGUUAAAAGAUGAACAUGUGGCUGAUGUAAAGGACGCUUUGUUGUCUGCCUGCACCUGUGCAAAGCCUCCAGUCAGAUUUUGACACUUCACUAUUGAGCAAGCCAGCAGUUGCACACGGAGACCCUGAGGAGAGGAGGCCAGAAGAAGGCAUUGGGUCCCCUGGAACUGGAGUUACAGAUGGUUGUGAACCAUCAGGACCCCUCACCAUGUCCUUCAUCUCCUGUCUGAAUUGUGGACCGUUAACAUGAAUAUUGCCAAAGCCUUCUUGCUUGCAUAGUCGGGCUGCAGGACCAGACAGACAGAAACCUCCAUUUGCAAAUGGCACCCAACAUGAGGCAUAAACCCACAACCCUGGGAUUAAGAGUCCCAUGUUCUAGCUGGGCCUUGCGUCUGCAGAUCCUGCAUGGUGGCUGGUUGAACCAAGUGUCCACUCACUGCUGCCAAUCCUUGUGGAAGUGGGUCUUCAGGAUCAUGACAUUCCGGCUGGGCACCAUGGCUGCCUCCUGUGCAAGAGAACGGCCAAGUGCAGUAGAUGGUGAGACAAUGUCAGCAGUAGCAAGUGGUGUAGUGCCAUGUGGGUAGGAAGUACAUGAAGCUGAGAAGACAAAGGGCUUGAUCUUCGAUGGGCAAGUUUGACUACUGAUAGAGAAGCAGCUGGGACACCCCCCCCCCCAACCCAGGUAGUCCAAGGGGGUCAGGAAUCAGGAGUGGGGAUGUCCUUUUGACCUAUGAGGGCACGGUGGUGCAUACCCUUAGCGCCAGCAGGUGGAUCUUUGAAGAUUCAAGGCCAGCCUGGUCUACAAAACAAGGUUCAGGCCAUCCAGAGCCACAUGAUGAGACCCUGCCACCACUACACCUACCCCCAACCUCCCAUCAAGCACCCACAUUGUGGACAUCCAUUCAGUUACAGGGCUCCAAGAGGUCCUGGUUGAAUUUCCUCCACAGGUUGAAGCUGGUCAAUCUCUUUGACAACUAACAGCUAACAAAAUCCAAGGAGGGACCUCAGUGGGAGCAGAGUACAAACACCAUCUCUAUGAGGCUCCAUGUGCAAGGGAUGUGAGCAGAAGCAGCGUUCCAGGGGAAGCGUUAUGGCCCUCAUCCAGAAGCUGGUGGAAGUAGAAGCAGACACCCACAACUAAUCACUGAACUGAACUGGAAUCCAGAUGCAGAGAAGGAUGAAGUGACGAGCAAAGGGUUCCAUACCAGGCUGAUGAAACCCACAGAAACAAC
rnacentral:lncRNA from 1 species